rnacentral:snoRNA from 1 species
AUCAUGAUGACAAAACAAUAUUUAAGUCAAUUCCUUUAACAUGAAUGGUCUCUGAUUAGAAAGUAUUCGAUUUUAUCUGACG